AGAGUUUGAUCCUGGCUCAGGAUGAACGCUGGCGGCGUGCCUAAUACAUGCAAGUCGAGCGGUAAGGUCCCUUCGGGGAUACACGAGCGGCGGACGGCUGAGUAACACGUAGGAACGUACCCCAAAGUGAGGGAUAAGCACCAGAAAUGGUGUCUAAUACCGCAUGUGCUCUAAGGAGUAAAGCUUCGGCGCUUUGGGAACGGCCUGCGUCCGAUUAGCUAGUUGGUGAGGUAAUAGCUCACCAAGGCUACGAUCGGUAGCUGGUCUGAGAGGAUGAUCAGCCAGACUGGGACUGAGACACGGCCCAGACUCCUACGGGAGGCAGCAGUAGGGAAUUUUCCACAAUGGGCGAAAGCCUGAUGGAGCAACGCCGCGUGCAGGAUGAAUGCCUUCGGGUUGUAAACUGCUUUUAUAUGUGACGAUUAUGACGGUAGCAUAUGAAUAAGGAUCGGCUAACUCCGUGCCAGCAGCCGCGGUCAUACGGAGGAUCCAAGCGUUAUCCGGAAUUACUGGGCGUAAAGAGUUGCGUAGGUGGCAUAGUAAGUAGAUAGUGAAAGCGUGUGGCUCAACCAUAUACACAUUAUCUAAACUGCUAAGCUAGAGGAUGAGAGAGGUUAUUGGAAUUCCCAGUGUAGGAGUGAAAUCCGUAGAUAUUGGGAGGAACACCGAUGGCGUAGGCAGAUAACUGGCUCAUUCCUGACACUAAGGCACGAAAGCGUGGGGAGCAAACGGGAUUAGAUACCCCAGUAGUCC
rnacentral:rRNA from 1 species